CAUUGAGCACCCUGCACAUGUUGAAUUCGCAAAUGAGUUCUUGCCUGUAUUGGAGAAGGCCCUCAUAAUUGAUUACAAACCGACUUCUGUCAAUUAAUGGUGGACUAUGGAGAACCUGGGGGAGCUUUUCUCAAUUCUCAUCAUCAAUAUCCUUGUACUGUUUCUCAGAGAAUUCCAUUUGAUUCUACAAUAUACACUUUGUGUUGAAUAAGUCGGUUCUGCUUGGUUUCCUUGUUGAGAAUAAAUUGAGUUUCCUGUAACUGCAGUUGUAAUAACUUUGAACUUUUUUUUGUUCGUAUCAGAAUUACGUUUCCAAAGACUCCUAUACUGUCUGCUAUCUGUGCAUAUAAGCUCCAGUAGAAGCUGCGAGUGCGUAUUUUUCCUUUUAACCUUUUGAGCAUCAUGAUUGUGAUCAAUUGCGGUCUAAAAUUUAUGAUCCUAUUAUAUAUCUAUGUGCAUUACCUAUUACUUGUCUAGUUGUCUAAUAAAGCGUCUAACAUGGUAUUCCCAGAUGCAUUUUCCGUUCGCUGCUUGGAAGCUGCUGGACGAGAAAUUAACAUGUUUAUGUGACCAUGUCCUUCAGGAAAACACAAACUCAACGAUCUCUGUUUUCUGCAGAUUUACUGUACUGCUGAAACCAAUCGCUCUUAUCCUACUUUAGCAUGUUUUACGUGGUCUGUGGACUGUGGUAAUACCAACCGUGCCAUGCGUAUGAAUUUGGGCUUGACACUUGACAUGAACCAUAUAUUUUGUUCUUUUCGACAGCUUAAAACACUUACACGUUUAAACACCGAAAGCUGAACUUCUAAUGUUUGCUUGUUUGAGCUGCAACUUUUGGACUUUUCUGUAAAGCCGGUGCUACUUUUUUUUUAUGAAAGGCCAACCAUAACUUUUAGAAUAUGCGUUUAGGUUUUUGUACCAAAAAGCUACGAAAAGCUCAGAAAAUUGAGCUUUUCAGCUUUCAAUAUAAACUCAGGUUUUCUAAACUUCUAACUUUUUGAAAGCUGCAUGAGAAGUUUCUUGUUUGUUUGAGUUUCUAGCUUUUGACACUGAGAAGUUGUCAGGAAGCACAAACAAAUAAGGUCUAAAAAUCAUAAUACACUGCUUCAGAUGUGAGCUACCAAGAAUCUCUGCAUUAUGAAACCUGGUGACGACAAUAGCAUAUUGUUGAAUUAGUACGAGUGAGCACUUCCACAGUUCGUUCUAAAGAAAAGCACUUCCACAGUUCCAAGCAUGUCCUGAGCUGACGAAUUCACCUACCUCGGCAUGGAAUGGCCCGUAGACUUUCACUCGAGUAAUAAUUUUUUUUAAAAGGGGAGAGCUUAUACUAAAUUAACAAAACAUGUUUACAAUCAAAAUCUAAAACUGCCGACGCGCAGGCCAAGACACCUUAAGAAACAAAAUCAGAUGAGAGCUCUCUCCUACCAAGCUGUCCUAGUUCAUGAGCCACUCCAUUUGCACUUCGAUCGCACUUUAAAACUUUGAAACACUGGAACAUUCUCAGCAUUUUUUUACUUCUUCAAUGAUGAUGGAGCUAGGGGAUCGAUUUAGAGUACCGUCAUUGAACGCUUGUACUGUGAGGCAGUCCAGCUCCAGCCAAAUAGGUCCCAUGAAAACAGAGCAGGCUCUGUUGAUGCCUAUCAAGGCUGCAAGACAUUCAACUUCUUCAGCCGAAGAGCAUAAGCGAUCGCCGCACCAACCUGAAAAGGCAACUUCACCCAAGUGAUUCCUAGCAAUAAAACCUAGACCAGGAUGUUGUGUGUUAGGAUCAAAGCCAGCAUGUCGUGUGCAGGAAUCCGCCGCCAGGCGGUGGUGCCCAUGCCAUGAGCAGGCCAGCAACUUCGAAGGAAACAUGCUGCAAAGCCAAAGGAAUAUGUAUCUCGGCAUAUGUGGCAGUCGGCCCGCGAAACAUUGCGAACCAUGAAAACCGUUCAACCCGGCGGUUCCGAACCGCCUAGCUGGCUCCCUCAUGGUUUGGUUGGGUUUUAACCAAUAACCGGUGAAACCGGACCAUGUACAGGGCUUACCUUUGGGUUUCUCGCGGCCGGCGUUAGGUAGGCGGCCGUCCUACUCGCCACUGAAUAUGAUUGUCUAGAAACUAUUUUAUUAAAAGAAAAAUAUAUGAGAUGCAAUAAUUACUUAAGUAGAAGCAAGUACUACCCAUAUUUGAUGUUGGGUAGUUCAAAAAUAAACUAAGCAAUGUGUGCGUUCGGAGUCAAACGACCUGUUCAGCUGGACUUAUAAGCCGGCUGAAAAGCUGAAACGGCUGAUUUGUUGUGAGAGAAAAACACUGUUCGGUGGCUGAUAAGCCGGCUGAUAGGUUGAAGCGAACAGGCUUAAAGAAUUUUAUCAAACGUCUUCACCUUGGUAUUACUAAAAUCCUCCCCCCAUCUUUAAAUAUAAGAUGUUAGUAAUUGUCCUUAACAUCAUAUAACGGAGGGAGGAGGGAGGUAGUCUGUGCGAUGGACCACCCGAUCCGACCCGCACAAGUUCAGGCUGGAACCGGAUCCGGCCAGUUCGCUGCAGGUCAACUCACGAUGAUCCUAGAAUCGUCCACCUCGUGAUCGGCGAAUCCGCUGUCUACGCGCUAAACUGCCCGGGAGUAACGAUCCGGUCACCAAAUCAUCUCAGCUCGAGCAAUUCGCUCUCACCACGUAUAAAGCAGUGGCCAAGAAGCCAAGCCAAGCAGCAGCAGAGCAUCCUACCUACCACGACCAAACAGAGGAGGUGAGGGGCCUCGAGCGAAGAAGCCCGGAGGCAUGGCGGCUGGUGGCGGCGGCGGCGUGGUGAAGCACAUCCUGCUGGCGCGCUUCAAGGAGGACGUGACGCCGGAGCGAUUGGACCAGCUCAUCCGGGGCUACGACAGGCUCGUGGGCGUUGUCCCCCCCAUGAAGGCCUUCCACUGGUAAAGCGCGCUGCACCCACCUACCCACCUCCAGGACGACUUGAGAUCUCAACACGAUUCCAUUGCUGGCUGUUCACUGUUGUGUAUGCGGUAUGCCUCUGCUUCCUGUGGGCGAUUAGUAUCUACCUGUUUGGGCGCCGUCCCUGUGAGACUCCGUGAGGACUACGCACCCAAGGUGCUCGAGGAAUUGGCUGACUGCCUGGCUUAGUUUAUCUUGACUGAAACAUGAUUUGGCAUUUUGUGUUUCCCCGUGCACGAUCAGUGACUGCGAUCGAUGGCCCUGUGAUUUCUCCUAGUUCCCUGGUCCAGAUAUCCAUAGCUGAUUUAACUAAAUAAUAGCCAAACCAGCAUGUACUACUAGGUGCCUACCACCUCUAUUUCUUAUCCCAGAGCAUAUUACAACGAACAAUAUUGAUAUUUUCUAGGGAGAGAUUUACAUGUAUUCUCCAGACAACAGUCUUAUCUAUUUGUCAAAUUCAAAAAGUUUGUGCAUCUGCAAGAUCAUAUGAAAGUGAAAUUGCGAAAAAGUUAUAGUAGUAGUCUCAUUGUUUCACGCAUGAUUGCUACUCCGUUGUUUCAAGCUGUACGCUUCCUUAUGUGCACUUUGAUUUGCAGGGGAACUGAUGUGAGCAUAGAAAACAUGCAUCAAGGGUUCACGCAUGUCUUUGAGUCCACAUUCGAAAGCACAGAAGGAAUCAAGGAGUACAUUGAGCACCCUGCACAUGUUGAAUUCGCAAAUGAGUUCUUGCCUGUAUUGGAGAAGGCCCUCAUAAUUGAUUACAAACCGACUUCUGUCAAUUAAUGGUGGACUAUGGAGAACCUGGGGGAGCUUUUCUCAAUUCUCAUCAUCAAUAUCCUUGUACUGUUUCUCAGAGAAUUCCAUUUGAUUCUACAAUAUACACUUUGUGUUGAAUAAGUCGGUUCUGCUUGGUUUCCUUGUUGAGAAUAAAUUGAGUUUCCUGUAACUGCAGUUGUAAUAACUUUGAACUUUUUUUUGUUCGUAUCAGAAUUACGUUUCCAAAGACUCCUAUACUGUCUGCUAUCUGU
rnacentral:lncRNA from 1 species